rnacentral:lncRNA from 1 species
UGUAAUUAUAAACCUUUAUUCAAGUAUCUAUGGGAGACAGUGGAGUAGUGACCUCAUACAAUCUUUAAUAUAUAUAAAAACUAGUGUAUUUAUAUUUAACAUUUAAUUUUAUAACUUAAAAUACAAAUAAGGAAAACUUGUGUCUAUUGGCCGGAUUUAUAUAUACAUUGUUGUAUUACAGAUAUUUACAUAACAUACUUAUAUCAUCAAGUAAUGAGAACUUUAGAAAUAAAACACUUAACAACAAGAGUGUUUGAAACUAUUUUGUUAAGAAUUGAAUUCCACUGAACACUAUUCUAUUGGUUUGUUAUCAAUGUCUUACAACAGUAGAAACUGAAUAUACUCAUUUUAACAUCUUAGCAUUUAAAUAAUUUAAUAUUUCUACUAUAAACAUUAACGAUUCAACUUAGUAAAAUAUCCAUACACUCUGUCAAGGUCAUUUCAAUGACUUACAUAAUUUACAAAAGAUGAAUAACAACAACAAUCUAAUAUUAUCUCAAUCUAUAAUUUCAAUGAUCUAAUAUCUCCUAGAAUAUUGAAUUUGAGAAUUCACCAUUAAAAACUGAUCUUCCUCAUUACUUCCUGUUUUUAUUUUUUAUCUGACAAGGUGUGUAUGUAUGUUGGGCCAAUUAGUCUUAAAAUCAAUCAUGUUAUCAAUUAAUUUAUUAGUUGAUUAGUACAAACAUCUAAGGUACAUUUCCUUAAAAAUUUUUUAAAAAUUUUUAAUUUUUCUUUCAAAAAUGUUAAAAUUAUUCAGAAUUUAAUGUCAGAUGUCAUACGUCAACGCAGAACAGAUAAAAGCAGAUUUAAAUAUCCGACUUUGUCAGUCAGCUGUUUCUACUAGGCCAACAAUGGAUGGGUGAUACCUAUACCAUGAAAAAAUUCUUUUUGUGUUUGUGUAACGUGUAAUGUGGCCGUUUUUCUGUUUUUGCUGUUUGGGGUUGUACGGAGGAUAUCCAACCAAAAGUUAUUUUCACAAGAUGCAAAUGUUAACACCUCAAUUUUGUAGCGGUACUUUUUUAACAAUUGACCAUUAGCUCCGAUGAUGACAUUUAUGUCGAAAGCGCUCAGCUAAAGAAAUAAAUUAUUUACACACUUUGA